UAGCGCCUCGUGAAUUCAUCUCCGGGGGUAGAGCACUGUUUCGGCUAGGGGGCCAUCCCGGCUUACCAACCCGAUGCAAACUGCGAAUACCGGAGAAUGUUAUCACGGGAGACACACGGCGGGUGCUAACGUCCGUCGUGAAGAGGGAAACAACCCAGACCGCCAGCUAAGGUCCCAAAGUCAUGGUUAAGUGGGAAACGAUGUGGGAAGGCCCAGACAGCCAGGAUGUUGGCUUAGAAGCAGCCAUCAUUUAAAGAAAGCGUAAUAGCUCACUGGUCGAGUCGGCCUGCGCGGAAGAUGUAACGGGGCUAAACCAUGCACCGAAGCUGCGGCAGCGAACGUAUCACCCAAGACAACUUUACGGAGUUGACGAUUGACGGAGCGAAGCGACGUCAAAGCGUUCAUUAAAGUCGAGUUGGCUUAGGGAUACGUUCGUUGGGUAGGGGAGCGUUCUGUAAGCCUGUGAAGGUGUGUCGUGAGGCAUGCUGGAGGUAUCAGAAGUGCGAAUGCUGACAUAAGUAACGAUAAAGCGGGUGAAAAGCCCGCUCGCCGGAAGACCAAGGGUUCCUGUCCAACGUUAAUCGGGGCAGGGUGAGUCGACCCCUAAGGCGAGGCCGAAAGGCGUAGUCGAUGGGAAACGGGUUAAUAUUCCCGUACUUGGUGUUACUGCGAAGGGGGGACGGAGAAGGCUAUGUUGGCCGGGCGACGGUUGUCCCGGUUUAAGCGUGUAGGUGUGUGUUCCAGGUAAAUCCGGUUCACUUUAACACUGAGGCGUGACGACGAGGCACUACGGUGCUGAAGCAACAAAUGCCCUGCUUCCAGGAAAAGCCUCUAAGCAUCAGGUAACACGAAAUCGUACCCCAAACCGACACAGGUGGUCAGGUAGAGAAUACCAAGGCGCUUGAGAGAACUCGGGUGAAGGAACUAGGCAAAAUGGUGCCGUAACUUCGGGAGAAGGCACGCUGACACGUAGGUGAAGUGAUUUACUCAUGGAGCUGAAGUCAGUCGAAGAUACCAGCUGGCUGCAACUGUUUAUUAAAAACACAGCACUGUGCAAACACGAAAGUGGACGUAUACGGUGUGACGCCUGCCCGGUGCCGGAA
rnacentral:rRNA from 1 species